GACGAACGCUGGCGGCGUGCUUAACACAUGCAAGUCGAACGGAAAGGUCCUGCUUUUGUGGGGUGCUCGAGUGGCGAACGGGUGAGUAACACGUGAGUAACCUGCCCUUGACUUUGGGAUAACUUCAGGAAACUGGGGCUAAUACCGGAUAGGAUCUCCUGCUGCAUGGUGGGGGUUGGAAAGUUUCGGCGGUUGGGGAUGGACUCGCGGCUUAUCAGCUGGUUGGUGGGGUAGUGGCUUACGAAGGCUUUGACGGGUAGCCGGCCUGAGAGGGGGACCGGCGUCAAUGGUCCUACGAUAGGGAGCAGACGGCUACGGGAGGCAGCAGGCGGGAGCAUGACGCAAUGGGCGGAAGCGUGAUGCAACGGCGCCGCGUGCGUAAUGACGGCCUUCGGGUUGUAAACCACUUUCUACUGAGCCAAGGCGUGAGUGACGGUAAUGGGUAAAGAAGCCCCGGCUAACUACGUG
rnacentral:rRNA from 1 species